rnacentral:lncRNA from 1 species
CAAUUUGUUUUCCUCUUUCCAUGAUCUGAUGUAUAAACUUUAUCAGGAGAAAGAAGUAAGAAUACAAAGAAACUGAAGAAAGAAGCAUAAAAAGUCAUAGCAGAAAAUAUUUUUGCAGAUAUAGCCAUGCAUAAAAAGUAAGUGUUUUUUGAAGAAUAUUUCCCCAUCCGAGUACCAAAGUUAAACACAUUUUUCUUAAGUUAUUAGAGACUAAUUGACUAACCUUUUUAGUUGAUGUUGAAGAUGAAAAAUCUGAGAAAUGGAUUUAGAAUGAGGCAACAGAAAGUAUGGAACGGUUGCUUCUUUCUGUUCUUGUGUAUGUAUGAAUUCUCCCCUUUUCAACAAACCAACAGUUUGAGAUAAGAAGUUGAAAAUUCGUGUGGAGGAGAAGAGAUAAGGGUAUACGGGCACCAAAAUCACGAGGUUAGGGAGAAACAAAUGACAAAAAAUGGUUGGGCAUUAAAUUUGAAAGUGUCUUAAAUAUAUUUCCGAGUAGUUU